rnacentral:rRNA from 1 species
AGCGAACGCUGGCGGCAGGCCUAACACAUGCAAGUCGAGCGCCCCGCAAGGGGAGCGGCAGACGGGAGAGUAACACGUGGGAACGUACCCUUCAGUUCGGAACAACCCAGGGAAACUUGGGCUAAUACCGAAUACGUCCGUAAGGAGAAAGAUUUAUCGCUGAAGGAUCGGCCCGCGUCUGAUUAGCUAGUUGGUGAGGUAAUGGCUCACCAAGGCUACGAUCAGUAGCUGGUCUGAGAGGAUGAUCAGCCUCACUGGGACUGAGACACGGCCCAGACUCCUACGGGAGGCAGCAGUGGGGAAUAUUGGACAAUGGGCGCAAGCCUGAUCCAGCCAUACCGCGUGGGUGAAGAAGGCCUUCGGGUUGUAAAGCCCUUUUGUUGGGAAAGAAAUCCAGCCGGCUAAUACCUGGUUGGGAUGACGGUACCCAAAGAAUAAGCACCGGCUAACUUCGUGC